GGUUCUGCUCUUCAUCAUCUUCAUCUGCACAUUCAGCUCUCACGUCAGUGUGGCGUGGAGAUCUCAGACUGAGUUCAGUGUUUCUGGACGAGCGCUCUACAAACUGGACCUGUCCUGGCCCAAGUACCCAGAGUUCUUCACUGGACAGGUGUUUGCGGUGGCCGUCAAUCAUCUGGCGGGGCUGGUGUACGUGGCGCAGAGAGGUGAGAAUGUCCCUAAAGUGUUAGUGUUCAGCACAGACGGAGAGUUUCUUCAGGCCUGGAACUCCAGCACUCUGGAAAUGCCUCAUGGAAUCUUCCUGGCCGAUGCGUCCACCGAGCCCACACUCUGGGUCACCGAUGUGGGGAACGGGCCGUUCGGGCACACUGUAAAGCAGUACUCUCCAUCUGGGAAGCUGCUGCAGGUUUUGGGAACUCCAGGUACAGCAGGAUCGUCUCUCAGUCCGCUUCAGUUCGAUCAGCCGGCAGAGAUAUUCGUCCACAGCUCUGGAGAAAUCUACAUCGUGGACGGAGACGGAGGAAUGAAUAACCGCCUCAUCAAACUCUCCAAAGGUGACACUAACUAAAAUAUGAAUCAUUUAUUAAAACAUGCCGGUUUACCUU